rnacentral:rRNA from 1 species
GACGAACGCUGGCGGCGUGCUUAAUACAUGCAAGUCGAACGGAAAGGCCCUGCUUUUGUGGGUUGCUCGAUUGGCGAACGGGUGAGUAACACGUGAGUAACCUGCCCUUGACUUUGUGAUAACUUCUGGAAACUGGGGCUCAUACCGGAUAGGAGCUCCUGCUGCAUGGUGGGGGUUGGAAAGAUUCGGCGGUAGUGGAUGGACUCGAGGCUUAUCAGCUUGUUGGUGGGGUAGUGGCUUACCAAGGCUUUGACGGGUAGCCGGCCUGAGAGGGUGACCGGCCACAUUGGGACUGAGAUACGGCCCAGAAUCCUACGGGAGGCAGCAGUGGGGAAUAUUGCAGAAUGGGCGGAAGCCUGAUGCAGCAACUCCGGGUGCGGGAUGACGGCCUUCGGGUUGUAAACAGCUUUCGCCUGUGACGAAGCGUGAGUGACGGUAAUGGGUAAAGAAGCACCGGCUAACUACGUG